CAGUGUCUCAUCUUUAAUACCAACUUUCUAACCUUUUUACAUCACUUGAACAGAACUCCAUGGUGACCAUGAAACUACUAGUCCUAGUGAUGUGCCUGAUUGGACUUUGUUCUUCCAUUCUUGUGUCUGAGGAACAUGAUCGAGAGGAGCGCUCAGCUAGUGAUGAGAUGUUCAGGGUUAAUGGGCGUGGUUUGGGAGGGUUUUACCACUAUCAGCCACCACAGUACCCAUCAUACUUCCCUUAUGCCCAGCCUCCCCAAAGUAACUCCGCCCUGAUGGCCUUCCUGCCCUUCCUAUUUGCCAGACUCUCUGCCACUCUUGUAGCAACUCCUGCUGCAGCUCCCGCCCCAGCUGCCGCUGCCACACCGGCCCCAGCAGCUGGAGGGAAAUGAGAUGGGCGUCGCCAGAGGAACCAGAGAGAGAACUCUGACUCCCAUGUCUCCACCUUGUUUACUUAAAUUAUGUUGAUAUUAGCUGCUGUUCAAAGCUGAUUAUUACAUUAUCAAUACAUUUAUUAAGUUUUAAGAUCCGUCAUUAUGUAUAUGUUUGUCUGUUGUGUUCUGUUUAAUUUACAGAGAGGGGCAAUUCUAUUUGUGAUGCUUUCAAAACAGGAGUGAAACUACUCUGACAUAAGGUGGAAGGCUCUACAAGUCCAAAUACAAGUAUGAAAUCCCCAAAACGCCAAAGUCAUUAUCAAUUGCAGGGUAUUUGGUGUUUCCAAAAAGGGGUCAUAACCCACCACCAAAUUGUCUUGCAUUGCAGAUAACAAAAUAUGUUGUUGUCUAUUUGGUAGCUAAUAACAAUACCAUUUUGAAAGACACUUUGAAAAUGGGUUACAACAAAAAAACGUUUGUGAACCUCAACUCUUUAACUUCAGUAUGAAGUCAGGUACUGUAGAUGUCUUUCUCUAGCACUGAGAAAGUAACAACAUUUAAUAUUAGCCUAGUAUACAAUUUCCCCGCUUUUAACAAGCCUUUAACACGUUGAUUUUUGUAUCGUUUCUGAUUUGAAUUGAAUCAAUAUCCGACGUUCUACAGUAAAUCCCUAAAAUAUUGUGAUUUGAUAUAAAAACCCACUCAAAUGUCUUGCAAUGCUAGACUAAAAUCUAACUUGGUUGCAUGCUUUCUGACAGUUGCAAUAAACACUUUUUAUGCCAUUGGAAUGUAUAUACAGAGCAUUCGGAAAGUAUUCAGAAGCCCUGAAUUUUUCCACAUUUUGUUAAAUUACAGCCUUAAUCUAAAAUGGAUUAAAAAAUAAAAUAAAAUCUACACACAACACCCCAUAUGAAAAAGCAAAAACCAGUUUAUAGAAUUUUUUGCAAAUUUAUAAAAAAAGAAGAAGUGAAACAUCAAUUUGUUCAGUACCUUGUUGAAGCACCUUUGGCAGUGAUUACAGCCUUGAAUCUUCUUGGGUAUGACGCUACAAGCUUGGCACACUUGUA